rnacentral:lncRNA from 1 species
GUCUCAGGCUCCAGUUGAGCCGCAGAAGCUGGGGCCUGGGACUGUGAAGCCAGCCAUGGUUACCGCAGACCUGAGUCCUGUCAGAGGAGCAGGUGGAUGAAGAGAUGGCUCCUUAAGCUGGACUGCACUGAAGACCCUAAGGGUUAGUGGCUCUCUGCCUGGUGUUCCCUGACAGGAACACCAGGUGGUCAGACAGCAGAAUGACUGCAUACCCAGCAGAACAUCCUGGAACCGUAUAGAUAUGCAAAAGGGCCCCUCUGUCAUUUCUACUGAAGGUUUAUGCCAACACCCAGGAAGAGGUAGAGAAUCUUCCCUCAUUUCUCCUGAUGGGCCAUGAAAUAGCAUGGCUUUCAACUGGGAACAUUUACUGAAAACCCAAAACAAAAGAAGUGAAUGGCAGAGGACAUACAUAACCCCCUGGGCUGUGAUCUCUAAGUUCCACAUUCAGGAGCCUUGACUGUGGACAUUGAGGGAGUGAAGAAAGCAUUGACACAGAGAAACACAAUACAGCGGGGUCAGGUGGGGCUUUCUAAUG